UGGCUUUGUUGGUAGAGCAUGGUGUUUGCAAUGCCAGGGUUGUGGGUUCGAUUCCCAC
rnacentral:tRNA from 1 species